AAAAAAAAAAUCACGGGACGGGUAAA
rnacentral:siRNA from 1 species